rnacentral:sRNA from 1 species
GCCAGGCAUGGUGGCGCAUGCCUGUAAUCCCAGCAGUUUGAGAGGCUGAGACAGGAGAAUUGCAAGUUCAAAGCCAGCCUCAGCAACAAAGAGGUGCUAAGCAACUCAGUGAGACCCUGUCUCUA